rnacentral:rRNA from 1 species
GAUUAACGCUGGCGGCGUGCAUAACACAUGCAAGUCGAACGAUGAAACUUAACUGAUUUCUUCGGAAUGAUUUUAAGUGGAUUAGUGGCGGACGGGUGAGUAACGCGUGAGUAACCUGCCUUGGAGAAGGGGAUAGCCUUUGGAAACGAAGAAUAAUACCCUAUGAUAUGAUAAUAUCUCAUGAUAUUAUCAUCAAAGAUUUAUCGCUCUAAGAUGGACUUGCGUCUGAUUAGUUAGUUGGUGAGGUAACAGCUCACCAAGGCAGCGAUCAGUAGCCGGCUUGAGAGAGUGUACGGCCACAUUGGGACUGAGACACGGCCCAGACUCCUACGGGAGGCAGCAGUGGGGAAUUUUGCACAAUGGGGGAAACCCUGAGGCAGCGACGCCGCGUGAUUUAGAAGGCCUUCGGGUUGUAAAAAUCUUUUGUAUGGGAAGAAAAUGACAGUACCAUACGAAUAAGGACCGGCUAAUACGUG